CCCUCGUCGAUGAAGGCCUCGUGAAAACCGUUGAGCUGCCCGUUCAUGGCGACACCGGAAGGAAGCGGCGAAAGAAGAACAAAGGCCCGCAAGACACCAGCCUCGGCAGAAUGAGAGCAGCGCCUCCAAGGCACCGCCUCUUGGAAAGGGCUUACGCUUCGCUGCAUGGACUGAACCAUCCACCAGCUUCCUUGUAGUUUCGGCGCUUUCCAAGCCAGGUGCCUUUGCUAAGCACAUGAUACCCUCCCACCAAGGGGCCGAUCCACAUCUCUGAGCCACGCAAGGAGUCUUCCACCAAAACCACGGAAGACCAGAUGUGGCAUUCCUGAUGUUAAGCCAUUUCCGGCCUUGAGACCAUCCCCAGGAAGGGGCACUGACCCGCUUUCUGGGUCAGCUUUGCAGCACAGAAAUGACGAGUCUGUCACCCCGUCACCUUCCUCCUGCCCCUCAGCUUCCUUCUGAGCUCCAGUGGGCUGCACAGCCUCCAAACAGCCUCCAGCUUUGCACUGUGGGACGCUUCCCCUUGUGAACCGCACUGAGGAGACACGAACAGCGGACAUCCUCCCCCCUCCUCCUCAUAAACGCCGAUUCACCCAGACCUGGAGCUGAAGAUCUUGCCCCAGGCACUGGAACCAAGAAGUACCGCCGGCUCCGGCGCCUGGUAAACGCCUGGCACAGCUGGUGGGCAUGGCUUCGGACUGGAGCUGCCUCCGCAAAGCAUCCAGGCAAAGGCUUCACCUCGGCGAUCAGGGCCAAGAGGGUUAUGCUGGGGAAGAGGUGAAUGGGGUGGGGAACAGGGAGGAGGAGUCUGUCUGGUGCAGGGGGACUGGGAGGAAGACUGGGGAUGGGGAUGCUCAUUCAGAGCUCUGAGGUCUUGGUGGAUUCUGGCCCCACUGAAUUUUAAUCACCCUAAUGGCAAAUGCAGCAUCCUAACGUGCCUGGAAUUGGGCUGGCAUCACAGGCCUGAUCCAUAGCCCACUGAUGUCAAUGGUGGUGGCGUUGGCCCGGUGCUUGUUACUCCCAGGGCAGGUGUCAGCGGGUGGCGCCUUUGCACAGUCUUCCCAGUUCUAUUUCUUAGUGUGCGAGUGAGUGGUGAGUCUUGGGAAGACAUGCUGUGUUGUGGCUAGCGUGGGGCCGUGCAAGGUCCGGAGCAGAGGGAGCUGAGCAAAUAGCAGGCAUGGUCGCGCUCUGCUUUGGACACCAACAGGUCAGUUCUUGAGGCAGAGUCGCUCUCUGGGAACCCCACAGUCUGAGAUCCGCAGAAGAAGCAAUUGCCCUGCGUGGUGUUUGUCCAUCAAACAGCUCGGCCUGCUUGAUACAUUUACACAGGGGAUUCUAUAGUGGGGCUGCCUGCGACAGCAAGGGACUGGGCACGAUGACCCAGAAAGUCCUCUGCUCUGAUCUCAGUGUAAAUAUACACGGACGUCUCGAGUAUAGCCCAGCUUGGCAUCACGGAUGUCUCCGUCACUGGGAAGCUGACCUGCAAGGCCCCGGACUCUUGCAGGGCAAAGGGGCGAAUCCGAAGCUGGUGGCAGAAAAAGGGGCAACCUCUCAGUCCGAGUGGAUCCCAGAGAGCAGCAUAGUCCCCAAUCCAGCUAGGGCUGUGGAGAGGGAGUGGGUGUUCUCCCGUCUGAUUCCCAGGGGAAAGGAGAUGGAAUUCCUAACAUCCUAGGAGAUUAAGGCAUUGAAUUGGGGGGCAGGGGAAGUGCGCUUUCUGCCCCUCCAGUAAGCCCCGCCCACACAAUAAGCCCCACCCAAGGAAGUCCCCAGAACAAGACACCGGAAAUAGGAGUGUGCAGCUCUUGGGCUCCCAUCGGUGGGGCGUGGAUCUGCCCAUGGGCUCUGCCAAGCUGCUCGGCUCCUUGACUGGGAAAACAUAAGCAGUGGCCACGCCCCGUUCCACGUGGUGCCACCUUGCGACCCGCCCACUCCUGUCCCACCUGCAGGAUGAAAUCGUGAACAAUGCUGGCCAUCGCUGGGCACCCAAGUGAACCCCGCUCCGAGGUACAUGGGCUGGCUCGCACCCCUCCCAGCAAUUGUCCCAGGCUCUGUGCACACCCGGGCAGACGUCUUGGCAUCGGUUCCACGCAGGUCACGUUUCUGAGGCUGUCGUCACAGCUAGAGGCUGGUAGUGUUUUAAAACAAAAGCUGAGGCUCCAUGGAAGUCCCCAGCAGCAGGAGCGGGCUGCUAGUCCAUGGUGCUGCCACAUACCAGCUCAGUGCGAGCCCUCCCCCCUGAGUGGGGCAGCCAGGACCCCCGCUCUGCAACUGGGUGACCAUAGGCAAGUCACUUAAUUUCUCUGAGCCUCAGUUUCUCCAGCUGUAACAUGAGGGGCAGUAUGGUCCAGUGGCCUGAAACUCAUGCCUGGCUCUGCCACUGAACUCCUGCAAGACCAUGGACAGGUCACGUGCCCUCACUGUGCGUCAGUUUCCCCUUUAUCAUGUCUAUUUAGACUGUGAGCUCUUCAGAGCAGGGACCAGCUCUCCCUCUGUGUCUGCACAGCUCCAGGCACGAUGGGAUCCUGAUCUACGCCGAUACUUGCCCAGCUGGCAGGGCAGUGCCAGUAAAGCGCUUUGAGAUCCCGAGAUCCAAGCGCAGAGCUUUGACGAUCAAAUUCCUGGCUCUGGGAGUGGGGCAGUGACAGGCAAGGCAAAGGGAAAUACGACAGCUCCCAUUUGAACAAGUAACCUUAACCCAGAGGAUCCUCCCAGCUGCUCCUGUGCCCAGGGCCGGCUCCAGGGUUUUUGCUGCCCCAAGCACGCCCCCCCCCCCAAAAAAGCCGCGAUGGCAAUCUGCGGCGGCAGGUCCUUCACUCCGAGCGGGAGCGAGGGACCCUCCGCCGAAUUGCCGCCGAAUAGCUGGACGUGCCGCCUACCUCUGGACUGGCCGCCCCAAGCACCUGCUUGCUAAGCUAGUCCUGGAGCCGGCCCUGCCUGUGCUCCAGGUGCCUGGGCGGGCCCCAGGCCAAAGGGCAGUCAGCUGAGGAGCACAGCUGUGCCUGCUCUCUUCAACGAGCUCUGUUGAUCUGUGAAUCUAUUAUUAAAUCAAAUAAGGCCAGAGAGGCUAAUUAUCAA